rnacentral:rRNA from 1 species
UGGGGAAUUUUCCGCAAUGGGCGAAAGCCUGACGGAGCAAUGCGCGUGGAGGUGGAAGGCCUACGGGUCGUCAACUUCUUUUCUCGGAGAAGAAACAAUGACGGUAUCUGAGGAAUAAGCAUCGGCUAACUCUGUGCCAA